GUUGGUUAACGGAUACAAACCUACAGUUAGAUAGAAGGAAUAAUUUCUAAUGUUAGUUAGCAGAGUAGGGUGACUAGUUAUCAACAAUGUAUUGCAUAUCUCAAAAUAGCUAGAAGAGAGGUCUUGAAAUGUUCUCAACACAUAGAAAUCAUAAAUGCUCGAAGUAAUGGAUAUCCUAAAUAUUCUGACAUUCUAUGCUUAUAAUGAAAUAGCACAUAUACCCCGUAAAUUUAUAAAAUAUCAUGUAACAAUAAAAAAAGUCUCGUACUAACAUCUGAUACCAGUUUAUUAUAGUGGACACUAUUGCCUAACAAACAUUCACACUUUCUAAUACAUUAAAUUUCCCUUGGGAAACUACCCCGCUAUGUUCUGCCAUAUUUGUAUGCGUGUGACUGUUUCCUCAGUGUCCGGGAGAAACUGGGAGAACCAAUUAGCAUAUCCCAUUCUUCUGGUUAAGUAAUGGGGUUGAUGAUGGGCAUCUAACCCAAUCAGAGACAGGGAGACAUGGGGAGACCUUGGCUGGGCUCCUGAGUAAGAAGAGCAUUCACAUUUCCACAGAAUCCAGUGAUGUAAGGACAUGAGGCUUGACACUGCUACUGUCACAAUGGGAGACAGCCUCAGGAUGAAGCCAACACUCAGAGAAUGACAAAAUCAAAACUUGGAGAUUAACUGACCUCAUAUAGCAUUGCAUAAGCCCCUGAAUCAAGUUAUGCCUGAAGCUUAGUCCUUGAGCCUUCAACUACAUGAACCAAUAUAUUUCUCUAAUUAACCAGAGAGAAUGAAGGCAAGGAGAAUGUAAGAACUCAGAAGGCAAGAAGAGAAGCUGGCAUUAGAAUGCGGUUGAACAAGAGAAAGAGUUGGAGAUGCUGAGUUCUGGAGGCAGAUCUACCUAAGUCUAGAGCAUUUACGAUGAACUCAAAUCAAUACUAAUACAGCCUAAACUUUGACAGAUUUUGGGAUGUCUCUCCAUCCUGACAAUUCCAGAAUGCAGAGCAUGUGGAGUGAGUGUACUGCUUUGCUAAGAGUUCCAGACAUUCUCUGACAGGGGAGUUAUCAAGGCCCCAACUUUUUUUCCUGAGACUCAAGUUAGGGAAAUCUGUUGGGAUGGACUGAGGUAGCUCAGACCAAAGCCCAGUUGUAAGGAAAGGUAACAAAGCCAGUGGAAUAAACUGACUAGAUGCUUAAAAUUGGCAGAAGCAAUGCCUGAGGCCAGAAUUAAGAAGAAAACAAAGGGGGAUGGUGGUAGAACCUGACCUUCCCAGUCCUCCUGGGAGCUCAUGUAUACCUGGGGCAAUAGCUGUGUAAAUGAAUCAAAAUUUCUGUAACCUUGAGAACCCUGGCCAGGUUGGUGUGGAGCCAUUUUGAUCUGAAAAAACACUAAAGAAUGAGUAUUUCUUCUCAAGAACGAACACCACAAAGGUAGGAGUCUUACAAAGGGAAUCUACCGAGUGACUCCCUUUGUGGAUUGUUAAAAUGCUUUUCUAUCCAUAUAGGCCUAAAGUUUUUGAUAUAAGUUCAUCUGCUAGCUAGUUAUAAGACUUUGGAUAAUUUGAUGAACUACUCUGGGUCUCUUUUUCUUCAAGCGUAAAAUGCUGACUCACUAAAGUUUCUCCUGAAGUUUUGAAAUGAGGAAUGAGAUACAUUUAAUGUAUGAUUUUUUUUAUUGAAAAGUCUAAAAUACAACAGUAAGAUUGAGCUGUUAAUUUGGUUAGCAUACACUAAGUUGCCAUUUAGGACUGAAUGGCACAGAACUGCAAAUGCCUACAUUUAAUAUUUUUAAAAGUUCACAGCAUAAACUAGUGUUUAAAUUUUGCUUUUGUUUGGUGAGAAAUAGCUUGAUUUGACAUAUUCCAUACAGCCUAUCUUUUAAAAGUAUUUACUUUUUUUUUUUAAAGAAGAAUCUUUCCUGGUCGUAGAUUUAUGGUUAUCAAUUAAAUGUUAUAGCACAGUUUGUAUCUCAUUUCAUUCAUUCCUGUACACACUCCCUCUAGUGGCUCAAGCUACUUAUUUACUGAACAUUCCAGAGCCACUUAGUUUCUAGCUGUCCUGUACUGAUGCUUAAAUUUGUUCUCUCAUAGCCUUUCCUCAUCUAUUCAGAACCUCAUCUAUUCAGAACCUCAUCUACUCAGAAUUUAAAAACAUUAUUUAAGAAGAGACAAGGAAAAAAAGAUGGAGGGAUGAUUUUUGUGCCAUUUCAGGGUGACAGAAAAGGAAACAAGGAGAGCUGGAAUUGACCUGGAUCCUUGUGGGAAAUACUUCAGUGAUGGAUGGAAGCAGAGGGAGAAAGGACCAAAAUGAAGCCAGGAGGGACAAGAUGGCUGGAAUGUUUGGUUCUGAGGAUUCAUGAUUGUCCUUAACUCACACGGACUGAACUCUCGCUUGCCUGUCUUCCUGGGGCUUGUGUAAGAACAUCCUGCAGAAAAGUAUUAACAACGCGAGUGAUCUUCACUGUGUUUAACGAUUCAUUGAUUGUAAAAGAUGUUUUACCUGGGAUAACAAUGAGUGUGUAUUCCUGGAGCCUAAACUCACUGACCUGGAAGGGGGCCCCGAGAAGUGUGCUAAGUGGACAAAGGAAGCCUGGCUAGAGUUUAUAGUUUUCUAACUAGAUAAUUGAGUGAACUAAAAGGUCUUUUAUUAUCCUUAUGUGGAUUACGUACUUUGCAGGAUAUGCAUAGUCAUUAUUAAAACCAUGUGUACUCCUGUCUCACUUCUGAGCACCUUCUCUGAAAUCAGUCCAUAUAUGCUCAGGAAUGCAAACCACACUCAUUUCAGAGUCAGUGUCAACAAACAUAAUUAAGGAGGCAAAUUUACUUCAUAAGUUUUCUAAUGCCUUCUGCAUUAAAUAGAAAUGACUUUUGGCUGCUCCCAUCUAUUCAUGUGUAUAAUUGUUAAGUUCAGAUCUGAUUUUCCUGGAAGAACAAGUUUGAAUCUCAACAGGCUUGAUCUAGUCUCCCAUCUCCAUGUUCCCCAUAGUGACAGGUAAUUCAUGGAAAUUACUGUCUCAGCAUUUUAAAUAAACCUCCUUUAAGCUGAAAUCAAGAUGAUCUCAUAUAGAAAAGAGUGUAGGUAAAACUCAUAUUUAAGAAAUGGUACAGAGUGAGCAGAAAUUCUCACAGAAUUUUUGAGUCAGAAAUAUUUUUGUUAUACGGGAAAAAGGGACUUGCAGUUGUGCUCUUGAUUAUAAAAAGAAAGGAAAUCAAAUAGCUUUGAAAUGUUCCAUUAAAACCUUAUUUUAAUAUAUUCUUGCCACAAUGUAAGGACCUAUGUAAACUAAGUAAAAUUUCAUGACUCACACUGAGUUGCAUUUUGUAUCAUUUUCUUGUCUUCAUUGCUAUUUCUUUUCUUUUCUUUUUUUUUUUUUUUUCUCGAGACAGAGUCUCACUUUGUUGCCAGGCUGGAGUGCAGUAGCGUGAUCUCAGCUGACUGCAAUCUCCACCUCCCAGGUUCAAG
rnacentral:lncRNA from 10 species